rnacentral:lncRNA from 1 species
CAGAGGAGGCAGCGCUCAUCCUGGAUUUUGAAGGAUGAACUGAAUUUUAUCAGGUCACCAGCUGCCAUGAAGAGAACAUAACACACCAACAAUGGAGAGAGGUCUGGAAUGGAUAGAGAUCUGAGGUUUUUCACCCAGUUGGAAAAUGGUACAGCAGGAGUGGCUGACAUGGCCCAGGGGUUGUAUAUAGAAUCACAAUGAUAGGAAAAGGGCAGUUCUGCUCUUGCCUUACCGCGUGAUCCUGGAGAGUGUCACCUGUC